rnacentral:rRNA from 1 species
AAUCAACGCUGGCGGCGUGCCUCAGACAUGCAAGUCGAACGAGAAAGUCCCCUUCGGGGGGAUGAGUAAAGUGGCGCACGGGUGAGUAACACGUAGGUAAUCUACCUUCGGGUGGGGAAUAACCCAGGGAAACUUGGGCGUAACACCGCAUAAUGCAGCGGCACCACAUGGUGACAGUUGUUAAAGUGGGGGAUUUUAGGACCUUCGCGCCUGAAGAGGAGCCUGCGGCGGAUUAGCUAGUUGGNGAGGUACGGCUCACCAAGGUAACGAUCCGUAGCCGGCCUGAGAGGGCGGUCGGCCACACUGACACUGACAUACGGGUCAGACUCCUACGGGAGGCAGCAGUCGGGAAUUUUGGGC